GAUGUUAGCGGCGGACGGGUGAGUAACACGUGGGUAACCUGCCUGUAAGACUGGGAUAACUCCGGGAAACCGGAGCUAAUACCGGAUAGUUCCUUGAACCGCAUGGUUCAAGGAUGAAAGACGGUUUCGGCUGUCACUUACAGAUGGACCCGCGGCGCAUUAGCUAGUUGGUGGGGUAAUGGCUCACCAAGGCGACGAUGCGUAGCCGACCUGAGAGGGUGAUCGGCCACACUGGGACUGAGACACGGCCCAGACUCCUACGGGAGGCAGCAGUAGGGAAUCUUCCGCAAUGGACGAAAGUCUGACGGAGCAACGCCGCGUGAGUGAUGAAGGUUUUCGGAUCGUAAAGCUCUGUUGUUAGGGAAGAACAAGUGCGAGAGUAACUGCUCGCACCUUGACGGUACCUAACCAGAAAGCCACGGCUAACUACGUGCCAGCAGCCGCGGUAAUACGUAGGUGGCAAGCGUUGUCCGGAAUUAUUGGGCGUAAAGGGCUCGCAGGCGGUUUCUUAAGUCUGAUGUGAAAGCCCCCGGCUCAACCGGGGAGGGUCAUUGGAAACUGGGAAACUUGAGUGCAGAAGAGGAGAGUGGAAUUCCACGUGUAGCGGUGAAAUGCGUAGAGAUGUGGAGGAACACCAGUGGCGAAGGCGACUCUCUGGUCUGUAACUGACGCUGAGGAGCGAAAGCGUGGGGAGCGAACAGGAUUAGAUACCCUGGUAGUCCACGCCGUAAACGAUGAGUGCUAAGUGUUAGGGGGUUUCCGCCCCUUAGUGCUGCAGCUAACGCAUUAA
rnacentral:rRNA from 1 species